CUUCGGUGCCACCCCCCACCAUAAAUAAUGACCGGUCCCUAAUAAUGAAAAAAAUUUCUCAAACUCAAAUUUUGCGAACCUGGGGUGUGUGUCUUUUCCAACAAACUGAAAAUGGCUUGCACACGAAAUUGAAAAGCUUUAAGGGACUGCACAUUUUUAUUGUACAGGGGAGACUGAGGAGAAACUCUACAGUUAUAUUAUUUUUUUGUUGCCCCCUCUUAAGACAAGUAAAAUUUUC